rnacentral:lncRNA from 1 species
CCUUCUAUUUUACAAUUCUUCUUGUUUACUAUCAGACAAUUUGUAACUUCUCUUGGUUGCCAUGGCUGCCUAGCUACUUUUGAUCUGCCUUUGGAGUCCCCAGCUGAGUUCAAGAAAUAUCCUGCAAACACUGUCAUUGUGCAGUAAACAACUGCCUCUGAAAACCAUAUAGGAUCUAUUUUAUACAAAUAUAACAUCUCUAAAUGAGUUUAGCACAGUUGUUGGCUGGGAUGGGGUGACAAUGCCGAGAAAAUAAAACCCAGUGAAAAUGAUAAUUAUCCUCAGUCAAUUACAAUAUACAAGUUCGACCACAUCAAAUAUUUCAUUUCUAAUUUAUCAAAAAGAAAAACCAUUUCUAAAGGAACAUUUAAGGAAACCAACCAGGCAAGCACCAUGCUUGAUAUGAGAUUAAGAUCAACACAUAUAAUACCAACUAGCAAUAAGAACUGCCGGAUUAUGCGAGUAUAAUUAUAAGUGUCUUGAUGAGACUAUGAAUAAUUGUAAACUAGUAGUAGGAGUUUCUUUCGAGGGCCAUUCCCCAAUUUACUUAUCAAAAAAAAUAAAACAAAAUUUUAGACUAGUUGCUGACUAUAGAUGGGCGGAAUAUUUGAGCAUGGAAACUAUAUACACAGGAAAAUACCUAAUUGAUGAUAGGAGCCUCAAAAUAGUCUAACACCCAAAAAGUAAAAGUAAAAAAUGUCGGAAAAAAAAAGAAAAAGAAAAAGAAAAAAAUAGAACAUCUUAGCAGAUCUAGCAUAAGAAUUAAUCCAAACACUUGAACUUGGUACACAAAUGAAAUAUGGACUUCCAUUUAUCAUAAAGAAUCAAAAGAUUAAUAAAACCAUAUUGUAAACUGGACAAGAUGAGGCUCCACUUCACAUUUGACAGCCUAAGACCAAAUUGAGAAACUUGAUCAAUCUAUAAAAUUUAAAGAACAAAUCACACACUGCCAAAACUACUAGGUAGAUAGAUUGACAAAACUACUGAAGCAGAUUAUAUAAAAAUUGAUAUAGUCUUCCAUCUAUAAGGAAUUGCAAGAGAUACUUUUGAGGAAAGUUGAUUCAGCAACUCGUUUCACACUAAGACAUCAACAGAACACAAUUUACUCGUGUAAGCAAAUCUGCAAUCGAUAUUCAUUAUGAUUCACUUACCACUGUGCAAAAUACAAUCCGAGCAUAACUGCCUUGAGUAGCCUCCUUGUGUAUCAAUAAAUAUAAGUUGGCAGUUGUUUGAUAUACAUAGAAAACCUCGGAAGAGCAAGGAAACCACCACAUAUACAAGUGUACUGCCCUUUGGUCCAGGAAUAGAAAGAUCUUGCAAGCAUUAGAUCAAAGAUCACAUAU